rnacentral:rRNA from 1 species
CUCAGUUCAGAUCGUAGGCUGCAACUCGCCUACGUGAAGGAGGAAUCGCUAGUAAUCGCAGGUCAGCAUACUGCGGUGAAUACGUUCCCGGGCCUUGUACACACCGCCCGUCACACCAUGGAAGUUGGCCAUGCCCGAAGCCGUUACUCCAACCCUCGGGAGGAGGACGUCGAAGGUGGGGCUGAUGACUGGGGUGAAGUCGUAACAAGGUAUCCGUACCGGAAGGUGCGGAUGGAUCACCUCCUAA